GGAUGUGAGGGCGAUCUGGCUGCGACAUCUGUCACCCCAUUGAUCUCCAGGGUUGAUUCGGCUGAUCUGGCUGGCUAGGCGGGUGUCCCCUUCCUCCCUCACCGCUCCAUGUGCGUCCCUCCCCAAGCUGCGCGCUCGGUCAAAGAGGAGGACAUUCCCUGAUAGAGGAGGACCGUUCUUCGGUCAAGGGUAUACGAGUAGCUAUGCUCCCCUGCUAGAACCUCCAAACAAGCUCUCAAGGUCCAUUUGUAGGAGAACGUAGGGUAGUCAAGCUUCCAAGACUCCAGACACAUCCAAAUGAGGCGCUGCACGUGGCAUUCUGCCUUUCUAA
rnacentral:snRNA from 1 species